UCUAGAAAGUCCCUUUUUUUAGUCGAAAUAUAUUAAAGAUAAAUUCCAGUUUUGGUAACGAUCUCAAAAUGACUUUUUACAGAAUCUAAUACAAUGACCACCCAAGUGUCUAUUUGUAUGAAUAAAAAAUAUGUGCCAAAGGAUUCUGGAAGAAAUUGUGUAAUUGCUGAGAAAUAAGCAAAAUAAGCGCAGAUUCGGUCACUUCCUUCGGGUCUCUAUUCCAGAAAUAAUAAUACACUGUCCCACGUGUGCCUAUCUGUGUUGGUGGCCUUCACUGUGAUCGUAUUUCAGAUUACAUUUUAUGAUUUCACAAAGUUCAGCCAAUGUAACUACCAGAUCUAGAUCCACGAUGAUAUAGUCAUACUUAACCUUGGUUUUACAGACUUUCUCACAAAAUUAGUGUUUUACUGCAAUUACAAUGUACUAUCAUUUACCUUUAAUCUUUCAAAAUCUUGUAUUGCAUCUGGGCUGUAAUAACAAUGAAAAUUGUAGGCCUAGCAUGCCUAACAUUAAUAUAUAGGUUCAAAGCAAUAAUAGCAUUUUGCCCUGUUACAUUUUGACACAUAGAUAUUUAAAGGGGUUGUCAAAGUCAGACAUUCCUUGGGGAAAAAAUAAUGAUUCGCUUUGAUUCUUUGUAGAACAUGUAGAAUGAAUUGUUCUUUCAUACAUGUACGGUAUGUUUAAUCUUAAGCAUUUUACAUGUAAGUCAUAACUUUAUCAUAGAGUUGCUUUACCUGUCAUUCAUGUGGCAAGUACAUGUAAAGUCAGUCAUUGCUAAAACAAGUCAUGUAAUAUUGGUUGCCACAAGUAUGGUGUGUGCUAUGCUUGAGUAUGCUUUAAUCCUCUAAUCUACAUGUGCUGUACAUGAACCUGCAUUGUACAACACUUUUAUGCUAUCUGAUCAACUUAUAAGGGAAGUCAAGGCUGAAAAUAACUUUAUUUUAAAAAAUGUACAACAAAUGAAGAAAAACAUUGGUGAAGGUUUGACGGAAAUCUGUCAAAUAAUACAGAAGUUAUGAAUAUUUAAUCAAUGUUUAGAUUUUGUGACGUCCCAUACGAGCAGCUCUUUCAGUUGUUUUGUAAUAAGAAAUCAAUAAAAUGUCAUUUUCUCAGACAAUUAUACAUAUUUUUGUACAAGAAUUUGAAAUAUCAUCAUAAAUAUAAUUUCAUGUCAGUUUUUUAGCAGAAACAAUAUUUUUCUCUCAAUGGGCCAUGAAAAAAUGAGUACAUGAUCUAUGGGGCUGUGUCUAUGGGGCUGCUGCUCGCAUGUGUGUGACGUCACAACGCCAAAAUUUUAAAUAUCCAUAAUUUUUUGGUCAUUUUACGGAUUUUCCUCAAACCUUGACCAAUAGAUUUCUUUAUUUUUUUGUCUACAUUUGCUUUUUCAAGUUAUUUUCAGCCUGGAAUUCCCCUUAAAUUGCCUUGACUAGUGACUACAGUAACCUAAAUUAACUACACAAAUUUGGACUUGAAGUUUCUACAAAGUAUAUACAUGUAGGUAUCUACUGAUAUCAGUAGUAUUUAAUAUACUACCACUACUUUCUACCAAAACCUCUUCUUAUUUACUCUUCGCUACUAUGACAACAAAUUUUGUUACUACAUACAUUUCUACAAAAGGAUGAAGAAUAGACAACAUUCAAGGCUCUUUAAUAAAUUGACGCAAGUGGGAACAGCAUGAAGUCACAAGACAUCACUGCAGUAUAUAUUCUCCCAACCAGCUGUUGUUACAUCCAGCCCACAAGGAAUUUUCUGAAGUCAUCAUGUCUACUUGAUUCCCUUAGCAUCAAAUGUGAAACAGUACUUGCAUCUUGAAGAGGGAAUCGUUGAUGCCAAGACUUCGGAUUUGAUUGGCAGGUUUGCAGUUCAACGUUUCACAAGGCAACCACAAUUUGCUCAAAAUCAACCAGGGAAAACACAAGGCAACAUGUUUUGGAUAAGUGAACACAUUAAAGGAAAAUAACACUUACAAGUUGAUCAGUAUCUCAUUGAAGUGCUUGAUACCCUUCCACACAAUAGUUGAAACAAAAGGCCCAUAAUGAAUUCAAGACAGAGUUGUCAAAAUGUAUUCAAUGAAAUGUAUACUUGUAUUUUUAGCUUUGUAAUUCACAUGCAAUUCAGUUUGUUAACUGCAAUAUGUCGAACAUUUUAAUAAAUACCAUUUAUCUAUCUAUCUAUCUAUCUACAUAAAGGGGUACUCUGGGCAAAAAUAAUAUGAUUUAAAUUGAUAGAGAAAAUCAAGUAAGCAAAAAACUAAAACCUUCAUAAAAAUUGUAUGAAGAUUAGUGAGGUUAUUGGAUAUUUAAUUUUGCAUGAUUUUUGAGAAACAUUUAUAUAUGUGUCCUCAUGAGAAUGCCAUGGGCAACCUGAUGAUGUCAUAAUUUAACGUGUUCUCUUGUAUCUUUGAUAUAUUUUACUGAUUUAAAUUUUCUCUGCCAAGGUAUUGAAAUGGAGUCAAUUGCUGGUUUAAUUGGCAAAAUAAUCAUUACUGAAACUUGUAUUUUGAAGGUACGAUGCCAGAAAAAUGUUUUUAUGUAAGAGAUGUGACACCAUCAGCCCACACAUUGCAUAUUCAUGACAACAUGCAUAUAAUCAUUUUACCAAAUUAAUACCAAAGUUAAACAAUGUAAUAACUACUUUAUUCAAUUUGGGGGAAAUCUUUAGUGUUUUACUUGUCCAAAUCUUUGUUUCUUCAUAUUUUUAUUUCAAGUCUAAUGAGCACCCUUAUUUGGUGGAUAUAUUUUGCGCAUUUGAAGUGUCUUUAUUAUCAUUAUGAUGAUUCGUAUUUGUAUUAUCAUUAUUAUUGUUAUUAUUCGUAGUAAUAUAAUUAGUAAUAUUAUCAUAAUAAUUAUAAUGGUUACUAUCAAUUAUUGAAGCUUUUAUGACAACUUUUGUUACCAAUUAUGCGAUAAGAAUCACGGUUUCAUUUUGUUUGAACUUUACAGUUUGUGCAAUUUUCAACUUUUUUGUUGAACUUAAACAUGAAAGUGUUCACUUAUGCCAAAAAGGCAGCCCAGCUAAAGCCGGGGUAAUAAUAGCAGGGCCCGCUGGGAGAACAGUUUUCGGAACUGAAGCGGCUACCCUGGGUAAAUAUACCGCUAUUAUUAUUAUUAUUAUUAUUAUUAUUAUAGUAUUUUUCAUGUCCUUCAUAACUGUGAAAUACAAUCAAGUUUUGCAUUAAUAUGAUAUAAUUCAUUGGGAUUCAUUACAAUAUUUGUAUGAGAAAGUUGAAGUGGAAGAGCAUUUCCAAAUCUUUCUUUCUGAAUGUAGAUUCAGGAUAAAAUUACCAGAUUCAUGUAAUCUCAGUAAACCAAUCAAGGACCAACAGAUCUCUUCAGCAGAGUAAUCAAAAUUUCCCAAAAUAACUUUUGCUUUAAUUUAAAAAAGAUAUGGAAAAAUGUUUCAAAAGAAAGAACAUUUAACCAAGUAACUUUAUCUCGCAUUCAUAAAAAUACCUUAAACAGAUAGACAUACUUAAGCUUUUCGAGAUGCACAGAAUUCUAUGUUUGCAAUUUAAUAUUACAAUUAUUUGUAGAAUAAUUAAAAUGGGCCUGUUUUCCUCAAUGGGUUAUGUGAAUAGGAAUUACCCUUAGUAAUUUUGAUAGGCAGACCGAACAAACUACAACUACACAGUAGUUCUUGGUUUCAAAAUAAGACAGAAUUAACAACUUUAUUUGUUAAAUUCUUUGCUCUAUUCAUUUAAUGUAGUUAAAAUAAAUACACAUCAAUCGAAUUAUGAUGUAGUAAUUUAAAUCAAAUUAGCUUAAAUUUGUUCAACAAAUAUUCAGCAAGUUUUACAUUUCGACUGAAGAGAAUUGCCUGGUAUCAUAAAUAUAACUGAAGUUCAUUGAGUCGAAUGUCUACUAGUGGCUGCAUUCCAAACUAGUCAGAAUUAUUUGAAUUAAAAAGAAUGUCUACCUCUCUGUCUCAGCAGAUUUUUUGUUUCAUUUCAUAGGGUUUAUUGGGAACUUGCAAACUUCUAUCCCGACUUUAUUAAAAUCAUUGAUGCACAUUAUUAAAAUUGAAAAGAAAAAUUACUGUCUUGCAGCAAAUGGUUAUUCUGUUUUACCAACUUAGGUGUUCGCUUUCCAAGAUGUAAUACGUCUUAACAGUAAUUGCCCAUGUUUAACCAUAAACAACCAGUGGUGGGGGGGGGGGUUAAUGAUAAUUUGAAAACCAAAGAAGAUUUCACAUGGGUCAUUAAAGGGGUUUUCCAGGCUGAAUAGAAAAUGACUUGAAAAGAUAAUAGAGUUUUUUUGGUCAGAAUAAUGUAAAUAAAGAUAAGGAUUAUGGUUUAUUUAGUUUUGGAGGUUACGACUUAUGUUUGGCUUAACAUGUGGUUUUUCCAUCGUAGCAAUUGUCGCCGGAGCCUGCAACCAAUUUUUUUUUUAUUUACAUCCAAAUUAAUAAUUUAAUUAAUAAAUUUGCAAUUGGAUCCAAACUUAAAUUUGUAAAGUAAAAUAUAAUGCCUCAUAAACCUGUUUGCCAAAUUUCGGAUUGAUGGCUGAAAUGUUGGGGUUGAUAUGUGGGGGGGGGGGUCAGAACAUACCAAUUGUAUGUUACUUUGCUUUUAGGUACUAAAUCAUCCUUCCAAAAAACAUGGAACAUCAAAUUAGGCCGAUAUAUUUUGAUUUGUAGUCACUGUUGCGGAAUAUAUCUAGUUAUAUUUAAAUUUUAUAUUACACUUGUUUAGAAAUGCGAUACAGGUCUACUUGCCACUUCACUGUUUGCAGUUACUGGUCAAAUAAAGUUGCCAUACCCAGACAA